rnacentral:rRNA from 1 species
UACAGAGGUCCCAAGCGUUGUUCGGAUUCAUUGGGCGUAAAGGGUGCGUAGGCGGCGCGGUAAGUCGGGUGUGAAAUCUCGGAGCUUAACUCCGAAACUGCAUUCGAUACUGCCGUGCUUGAGGACUGGAGAGGAGACUGGAAUUUACGGUGUAAGCGGUGAAUGCGUAGAUAUCGUAAGGAAGACCAGUGGCGAAGGCGGGUCUCUGGACAGUUCCUGACGCUGAGGCACGAAGGUCAGGGGAGCAAACGGG